CUGAAAUCAAGUAACGCCUCCUUUCUAAUGCUGAGAUGGCAGCAGGCAUGGAGCCCUGCUUGGUAACCUCUCAUGGUGGUCACUUCUACUGAAGAGCAAAGAAAGGUCAAAAUGAAACAUUUUCCAGUCCUUUCCCUCUGGUUGACCUUUUCUGGGGGCCAAAGCUCUGUGCCCCAGGUGGCCUGGUUGUGUGCAGAGAAAUGCAGCCCCCGCAAAGCCCUUGGUUUUCCCACAAGUCAUCAUCACUCCUUCCCAGGUGCCCCCAGCUGUGGCAGGAGAGAGAGAGCCCACGGCGCAGUGGGCACUGUGCCCUCCCAGCCGGGGCUCUCUGGCACAGAGCAGCAGCAGCGCCAGCACCUUUCAACCCGCUCCUGGCCUUGGCUUCACGCGGGAGCCAGAAGCCUCUGGAAAUCAGCACUGCCAGUUGCGUUCCCAGCUUGGAGCAGCUCCUGCGGGUGGGCAAAUCCUGCCCGUUUGACUGCUUCCAAAGAGGAAUAAAGGCAGAGGUCACCUGUUCCAUGUAUUCAGAGGAGUUGAUCCUGAGAGCACAGAAGCAACCGCAGGCUCUCCUCUGGCUCCCUC